GAGUAAUGUCUGGGAAACUGCCUGAUGGAGGGGGAUAACUACUGGAAACGGUGGCUAAUACCGCAUAACGUCGCAAGACCAAAGAGGGGGACCUUCGGGCCUCUUGCCAUCAGAUGUGCCCAGAUGGGAUUAGCUUGUUGGUGAGGUAACGGCUCACCAAGGCGACGAUCCCUAGCUGGUCUGAGAGGAUGACCAGCCACACUGGAACUGAGACACGGUCCAGACUCCUACGGGAGGCAGCAGUGGGGAAUAUUGCACAAUGGGCGCAAGCCUGAUGCAGCCAUGCCGCGUGUAUGAAGAAGGCCUUCGGGUUGUAAAGUACUUUCAGCGGGGAGGAAGGUGUUGUGGUUAAUAACCGCAGCAAUUGACGUUACCCGCAGAAGAAGCACCGGCUAACUCCGUGCCAGCAGCCGCGGUAAUACGGAGGGUGCAAGCGUUAAUCGGAAUUACUGGGCGUAAAGCGCACGCAGGCGGUCUGUCAAGUCGGAUGUGAAAUCCCCGGGCUCAACCUGGGAACUGCAUUCGAAACUGGCAGGCUUGAGUCUUGUAGAGGGGGGUAGAAUUCCAGGUGUAGCGGUGAAAUGCGUAGAGAUCUGGAGGAAUACCGGUGGCGAAGGCGGCCCCCUGGACAAAGACUGACGCUCAGGUGCGAAAGCGUGGGGAGCAAACAGGAUUAGAUACCCUGGUAGUCCACGCCGUAAACGAUGUCUACUUGGAGGUUGUGCCCUUGAGGCGUGGCUUCCGGAGCUAACGCGUUAAGUAGACCGCCUGGGGAGUACGGCCGCAAGGUUAAAACUCAAAUGAAUUGACGGGGGCCCGCACAAGCGGUGGAGCAUGUGGUUUAAUUCGAUGCAACGCGAAGAACCUUACCUGGUCUUGACAUCCACGGAAGUUUUCAGAGAUGAGAAUGUGCCUUCGGGAACCGUGAGACAGGUGCUGCAUGGCUGUCGUCAGCUCGUGUUGUGAAAUGUUGGGUUAAGUCCCGCAACGAGCGCAACCCUUAUCCUUUGUUGCCAGCGAUUCGG
rnacentral:rRNA from 1 species